rnacentral:rRNA from 1 species
UACGUAGGGUGCAAGCGUUUGUCCGGAAUCAUUGGGCGUAAAGGGCGCGUAGGUGGUUGGGUAAGCGUGUGGUGAAAGCCCGGGGCUCAACCCCGGGUCGGCCAUGCGAACUGCCCGACUGGAGCACGGUAGAGGCCAAUGGAAUUCCGGGUGUAGCGGUGGAAUGCGUAGAGAUCCGGAAGAACACCAGUGGCGAAGGCGACUCACUGGCCCGAUACUGACGCUGAGGCGCGAAAGCGUGGGGAGCAA